GACGAACGCUGGCGGCGUGCUUAACACAUGCAAGUCGAACGGAGUGGCGAACGGGUGAGUAACACGUGGGUGAUCUGCCUUGCACUUCGGGAUAAGCUUGGGAAACUGGGUCUAAUACCGGAUAGUGCAAGAUGUGCUCGCGGCGUAUCAGCUGGUUGGUGGGGUAACGGCCUACCAAGGCGUCGACGGGUAGCCGGCCUGGGAGGGUGUACGGCCACAUUGGGACUGAGAUACGGCCCGGACUCAUACGGGAGGAAUGGGUGGGGAAUAGUGCACAAUGGGCGGAAGCCUUGUGGAGCGACGCCGGGUGGGGGAUGAAGUUCUGCGGGUUGUAAGCUCCUGUCGACAGUGACGCUGUACCUGUAUAGGAAGAACCGGCAAACUACGGGCCAGCAGCCCGGUAAUUC
rnacentral:rRNA from 1 species